CCCCUAGAUGUUCUGGGCCGCACGCGCGUUACACUGAACAGUUCAACAAGUCUUAACCUUGGCCGAUAGGUCUGGGUAAUCUUUGAACGCUGUUCGUGAUUGGGAUAGACCUUUGCAAUUAUGGGUCUUCAACGAGGAAUUCCUAGUAAACGCAAGUCAUCAGCUUGCAUUGAUUACGUCCCUGCCCUUUGUACACACCGCCCGUCGCACCUACCGAUUGAAUGGUCCGGUGAAAUCUCGGGACGGCGGCUUGGUCGCUUGCGUCCGACUGCUGAAACUUGAUUAAACCAUAUCAUUUAGAGGAAGGUGAANUCGUAACA
rnacentral:rRNA from 1 species